rnacentral:rRNA from 1 species
UACGGAGGGUGCGAGCGUUAAUCGGAAUUACUGGGCGUAAAGCGCGCGUAGGUGGUUUGAAAAGUCUGAUGUGAAAGCCCUGGGCUUAACCUGGGAAUGGCAUUGGAUACUGUCUGACUGGAGUGUGGGAGAGGGGUGUGGAAUUUCCGGUGUAGCAGUGAAAUGCGUAGAGAUCGGAAGGAACACCAGUGGCGAAGGCGGCACCCUGGACCAACACUGACGCUGAGGUGCGAAAGCGUGGGGAGCAAACAGG